rnacentral:misc_RNA from 1 species
GAUGAAGAACGUAGCGAAAUGCGAUAAGUAGUGUGAAUUGCAGAAUUCAGUGAAUCAUCGAAUCUUUGAACGCACAUUGCGCCCCUUGGUAUUCCAUGGGGCAUGCCUGUUCGAGCGUCAUUUGUACCUUCAAGCUUUGCUUGGUGUUGGGUGUUUGUCCAUUCUCUUGCAGAGGGACUCGCCUUAAAGUAAUUGGCAGCCAGUGUUUUGGUUUUGAAGCGCAGCACAAGUCGCGAUUCAAAGCUAUACGCCCGCUUCCACAAGCCUUUUUCACUUUUGACCUCGGAUCAGGUAGGGAUACCCGCUGAACAUAAGCAUAUCAAUAAGCGGAGGA